AUUCCAUACGGGUUUGGGACGCCACAGGUCUAAAAUACAAACUGACUACCUCACCCUCCCCAUGAUGCCGGUCCUGAGAAACAGGGCUUUCCUACCAGGAAUGCGUGCCAGAGACUUUAAGAAUAUAGAGAGGGCAGGCCUACAGCGGGCGAUCCACCUGUACAAGGGUGACCAGCUACUAACAUUUGAAGCCCUGGCAGCAAAGACCAGGCUAACACCCUCAGACUUCUU